UUUUUUGUUUGUUUCUUAUCCAACUCUCCCCCCACUCCCAUUCCCCUAUUCCCUGCUGCAGCCCUACGGUGCCUCCCCGGGUUUUGGAAAGGAGCCGGCGCCCCCUGUGGCGGUGUGGAAAGGACACUCAUUCAACACCAUUUCUGGCAGAGAAGCAGAGAAGUUCAGCGGCAAAGACAGCGGUAAAGGGGACAGUGAUUUCAACGACAGCGAUUCCGACAUCAGCGGGGACGCUCUGAAAAAGGAUCUCAUCAACCACAUGCAGAGUGGACUGUGGGCGUGCACCGCUGAGUGUAAGAUCCUGGGCCACUCUGACCGCUGCUGGAGCCCAUCCUGCAGCGGGCCCAACGCACAUCCGUCGCCUCACCCACCAGCCCAGAUGUCAACCUUCUGUAAGAGCACGUCCCUGCCUCGAGAUCCUCUGCGCAGGGACAAUUACUAUCAGGCCCAGCUGCCCAAGACAGUGGGGCUGCAGAGCGUCUAUGAGAAAGUACUGCACAGAGACUAUGACAGGACAGCCACUCUGCUCUCCCCUCCCCGUCCAGGGAGGCUCCCAGACCUGCAGGAGAUUGGGGUACCCCUCUACCAGUCCCCUCCUGGCAGGUACCUGUCCCCGAAGAAGGGAGCCAAUGAAAAUGUGUAAUCCCAUGCUGCAUGUCUUCACACAUAUACAGGUCACUCCGAGAAGCCCCUAAGUUAUUGACCGGUUUCAGUGUUGUAUAUAUAAAUAUGCAAGAUGUGCCU
rnacentral:sRNA from 1 species